rnacentral:rRNA from 1 species
GCCUGAUGCAGCGACGCCGCGUGAGGGAUGACGGCCUUCGGGUUGUAAACCUCUUUCAGCAGGGACGAAGCGCAAGUGACGGUACCUGUAGAAGAAGGACCGGCCAACUACGUGCCAGCAGCCGCGGUAAUACGUAGGGUCCGAGCGUUGUCCGGAAUUACUGGGCGUAAAGAGCUCGUAGGUGGUUUGUCGCGUUGUUCGUGAAAACUCACAGCUUAACUGUGGGCGUGCGGGCGAUACGGGCAGACUUGAGUACUGCAGGGGAGACUGGAAUUCCUGGUGUAGCGGUGGAAUGCGCAGAUUUCAAGAGGAACACCGGUGGCGAAGGCGGGUCUCUGGGCAGUAACUGACGCUGAGGAGCGAAAGCGUGGGGAGCGAACAGGAUUAGAUACCCUGGUAGUCCACGCCGUAAACGGUGGGUACUAGGUGUGGGUUUCCUUCCUUGGGAUCCGUGCCGUAGCUAACGCAUUAAGUACCCCGCCUGGGGAGUACGGCCGCAAGGCUAAAACUCAAAGAAAUUGACGGGGGCCCGCACAAGCGGCGGAGCAUGUGGAUUAAUUCGAUGCAACGCGAAGAACCUUACCUGGGUUUGACAUGCACAGGACGUGCCUAGAGAUAGGUAUUCCCUUGUGGCCUG